rnacentral:rRNA from 1 species
GACGAACCGUGACAACUGUUAGUCGAAUCACUGGGCAUAAAGGGCGCGUAGGCGGCUUUCUAAGUCAGGGGUGAAAUCCGGCAGCUCAACUGUCGCAGUGCCUUUGAUACUGGAGAGCUCGAGGGAGGUAGGGGUCUGUGGAACUUCCGGUGGAGCGGUGAAAUGCGUUGAUAUCGGAAGGAACGCCGGUGGCGAAAGCGACGGACUGGAUCUCUUCUGACGCUGAGGCGCGAAAGCCAGGGGAGCAAACGGG